AGAGACAAGGUGGCAUAUGCUAAUAGAAUAUAUUGAUAUUUAUCUUCUUAAAUAUCCAUCUCAUUCUCCCUGAUAGCAUGGGAAGCCUUGCAAGGAUUGUCCUGCCGUUCUUUCAAGCCCUAGCUCUUGGCACAUUGUAGACACAGAUAACUCUGUGCUUUAUGACUGCAGUUGUCAGUUCAACCACAGAGCGUUCAGAGCAGAGAAAGUCUCUGGGGGUUACAUGCAAGGGACUUGAAGUUGGGAAAAAGGCUUUGAAAAAAUGAAGGAGAAAGAUGAAAUGUAUUCCAGGAAACUGGGGAGGGAAUCAUGUUCCAGCAGUGAAGAACAAAGGCAGUUUUUUGGGGAUUUACAUACGCCAUCUCCUACAAAGUUAAAAAAUUUUCUUUUCCUGAAAGACUACAAUCAAGAUACAAACAUGUACAAUGGGUGAAGUGGAUUAACAAGUUUGUGUCAUGUUAAUU
rnacentral:lncRNA from 10 species